GCAGCUGUGGAGAUACAGGGAGAAAAGUCAGGGCCCCAGAGCGUGCAGCGCCGAGGCGGGUAGCCCCGGGACCCUGCUCUGCUGGGGACAGGACAUCCUGGGCGCUCUGGGGGACUCACUACCAGCUGCUGAGGUGGCCGGCUGGACUGCGCCAUGCGUUCCUCGGGCGCGCCUGCCCGCCCGCUCCCGCCUCCAGGCCGCGGUACGCGUCGAGGACCCUGCAGAACCCCAACCCCGAGGCUCGCCUCGGGCUCCGCGCGGGUGGCGCGAGAAACGCGCGGCUGUGUGUUCCCAGGCGCGCGACACCACUGUGCACUCAAAUGCUCUGUACCAGCUCCAUCCAACCAGCACCUCGUGUUCUAGCCCACACUGCCAGUGAACUGUUACACCCUCCAAAUCAGCUCCACAGGAGAAAGCAGCUGUGACACCGUUAUGGACAAGCCUACUCUCCCCCUGCCACCUAAUUCUGUGCCUUCCAUAUAUUUAAAAAUACUGUUUUGUUUGUUGGC